rnacentral:rRNA from 1 species
GAGUUUGAUCUUGGCUCAGGAUGAACGCUGGCGGCGUGCCUAACACAUGCAAGUCGAACGGGGUUAUUUAGGAAAGUUCUUUCGGGAGCUGGAAUCUAUAACCUAGUGGCGGACGGGUGAGUAACGCGUGAGCAAUCUACCUUUAAGAGGGGGAUAACAGUCGGAAACGGCUGCUAAUACCGCAUAAAGCAUUGAGAUCGCAUGGUCAUGAUGCCAAAGGAGCAAUCCGCUUUUAGAUGAGCUCGCGUCUGAUUAGCUAGUUGGCGGGGUAACGGCCCACCAGGGCAACGAUCAGUAGCCGGACUGAGAGGUUGAACGGCCACAUUGGGACUGAGACACGGCCCAGACUCCUACGGGAGGCAGCAGUGGGGAAUAUUGCGCA